rnacentral:rRNA from 1 species
UACGUAGGAGGCGAGCGUUGUCCGGAGUUACUGGGCGUAAAGGGUGCGUAGGCGGUCGGGUAAGUCUGAUGUGAAAUCUCACAGCUUAACUGUGAAACUGCAUUGGAUACUAUCCGGCUCGAGGAAUGGAGGGGAGACUGGAAUACUUGGUGUAGCAGUGAAAUGCGUAGAUAUCAAGUGGAACACCAGUGGCGAAGGCGAGUCUCUGGACAUUUCCUGACGCUGAGGCACGAAAGCCAGGGGAGCAAACGGG